ACUUAUCCUUGGGGGAGGCUGAAAGGCCUGAGAGUCCCGAUGAAGUCGGGAGACCCAUAGAACCUGAUACGGAUAAUGCCGGCGUAGGGAAGGGAAAGUAAACCGUA
rnacentral:ncRNA from 2 species